rnacentral:ncRNA from 1 species
GUGUUGCAUUAAAAGAGAGAAGGUUAGCACUCCCCUCGAUAAGUACGAAUGAGGUCCUAGUGGCCCUCACAACACACGUAAAAGUAUGGAUAAGGAAAUACUUUCUCUUGUAGGUCUCUUAGGAUCUUUC